rnacentral:misc_RNA from 1 species
GGUCAUUGUGGUCAAGGCCAAACAACAACAACGACACCGACAACUACAACACAGACAACAACAACAACAACAUUACCAACGACAACAACAAGACAAACAACAACAAGUACCACAGUACAACCCUCCACAACUAGAUCAACAACAACGCGCGACCCCAGCCAGCAGUUGUUCUGUGAUAAUAAGGAUUUUAUCACGUGUCCAUCUACUGUAGGUCACGUGUGCGGAAGUAAUGGCGUCAUCUACAAGAAUGAUUGUGAAUUUGCCAAAGCCAAAUGCACUGAUGGUAGUCUGAGUAUUGAGAGUGUGUCCUUCUGCCACCAUACCACCACUACCGCUAGGCCUACCACCCUUGACCCCAACCAGCAGCUGUUCUGUGAUAACAAGGAAUUCAUAGGGUGUCCCACCACCGUCAAACACGUGUGCGGAAGUGACGGCGUCGUAUACAACAACGACUGCGAGUUUGCUAAAGCGAAGUGUACCAAUGGCGCCUUGUCUAUCCAGCCUUCGUCAUUUUGUCACCACACUCUCUGAGCAUUUCAGUACUUCGAUCUUGUCAAUUUUAUAACACAUAGUGUUUGUAAAUUGUCCUGUAAAAUGGAGCAAUAAUGAACUGCAAUUUUUUUUAUCGGAGAUCAUUAUUCAUAAACUGUUUUUAUUAUUUCAGUGACAGUUGAAUAAAAAUUAAGAUUU